ACGGGUGAGUAACGCGUGGGAAUCUACCGUGCCCUGCGGAAUAGCUCCGGGAAACUGGAAUUAAUACCGCAUACGCCCUACGGGGGAAAGAUUUAUCGGGGUAUGAUGAGCCCGCGUUGGAUUAGCUAGUUGGUGGGGUAAAGGCCUACCAAGGCGACGAUCCAUAGCUGGUCUGAGAGGAUGAUCAGCCACAUUGGGACUGAGACACGGCCCAAACUCCUACGGGAGGCAGCAGUGGGGAGUAUUGGACAAUGGGCGCAAGCCUGAUCCAGCCAUGCCGCGUGAGUGAUGAAGGCCUUAGGGUUGUAAAGCUCUUUCACCGGAGAAGAUAAUGACGGUAUCCGGAGAAGAAGCCCCGGCUAACUUCGUGCCAGCAGCCGCGGUAAUACGAAGGGGGCUAGCGUUGUUCGGAAUUACUGGGCGUAAAGCGCACGUAGGCGGAUAUUUAAGUCAGGGGUGAAAUCCCAGAGCUCAACUCUGGAACUGCCUUUGAUACUGGGUAUCUUGAGUAUGGAAGAGGUAAGUGGAAUUCCGAGUGUAGAGGUGAAAUUCGUAGA
rnacentral:rRNA from 1 species